GGGAUUAGCUUGCUAAUCUGCUGACGAGUGGCGGACGGGUGAGUAAUGCUUGGGAAUCUGGCUUAUGGAGGGGGAUAACUACGGGAAACUGUAGCUAAUACCGCGUAAUAUCGAGAGAUUAAAGGGUGGGACUUUCGGGCCACCUGCCAUAAGAUGAGCCCAAGUGGGAUUAGGUAGUUGGUUAGGUAAAGGCUGACCAAGCCGACGAUCCCUAGCUGGUCUGAGAGGAUGACCAGCCACGCUGGAACUGAGACACGGUCCAGACUCCUACGGGAGGCAGCAGUGGGGAAUAUUGCACAAUGGGGGGAACCCUGAUGCAGCCAUGCCGCGUGAAUGAAGAAGGCCUUCGGGUUGUAAAGUUCUUUCGGUAGCGAGGAAGGUGGUUAUGUUAAUAGCAUAAUCAAUUGACGUUAACUACAGAAGAAGCACCGGCUAACUCCGUGCCAGCAGCCGCGGUAAUACGGGGGGUGCGAGCGUUAAUCGGAAUAACUGGGCGUAAAGGGCACGCAGGCGGUGACUUAAGUGAGAUGUGAAAGCCCCGAGCUUAACUUGGGAAUUGCAUUUCAUACUGGGUCGCUAGAGUACUUUAGGGAGGGGUAGAAUUCCACGUGUAGCGGUGAAAUGCGUAGAGAUGUGGAGGAAUACCGAAGGCGAAGGCAGCCCCUUGGGAAUGUACUGACGCUCAUGUGCGAAAGCGUGGGGAGCAAACAGGAUUAGAUACCCUGGUAGUCCACGCUGUAAACGAUGUCGAUUUGGGGAUUGGGCUUUAAGCUUGGUGCCCGUAGCUAACGUGAUAAAUCGACCGCCUGGGGAGUACGGCCGCAAGGUUAAAACUCAAAUGAAUUGACGGGGGCCCGCACAAGCGGUGGAGCAUGUGGUUUAAUUCGAUGCAACGCGAAGAACCUUACCUACUCUUGAC
rnacentral:rRNA from 1 species